rnacentral:lncRNA from 1 species
AGACGCUAAACUGUCCGGCCUCAACUAACAAAACUAGUUUCCUCUUUGACAAAAAGUGACUCCAUUUAUCCACCUCAUCAUUAAUAAAUCGAGAAUGAGACUCUCCCGACACAGUUCACGGCGUCACUGGUCCAUCGGGGUUUGUUUGUUCGUUCACCUCAGCGCACCGUGAUCACGAUGCUUCGAUGAUCUGUUGACGUGAAGCCACCGGGAGUAUCUGCUUUAACGGCACAUGAUCCGGUCAUCUGAACAGCCGUUCUGCAAGACAAAAAGAGGGAACAUAAGAUGCUGGCUAGCUCCGCGUUGAGUGUUGUGAGCGGAGUGCGGGGAGCGGAGCUCUGGUUCUUCUUGCUCUCCAGCUCGACCUGCAAGUCCCAGAUGUAAUCGAUGACAUGCUGGAGAAUCUCCAUCUUGCUGGCUUUCUUGUUGGUCGGUAGCGUGGGCACCAGCUCCUUCAGUUUGCUGUAGCAGCUGUUCAUGUCUUGGAGAAACAUGGUCAUCUGCUCGUCCAGCAGCGGGAUCUUGCAUUUGGAGAUGGCCAAGCUCUGAUCGGAGAGGCAGCGGACAACAUCCUCUCCUCCAACUUUGCUGCUCUUCAGCGCGCAGAUUGUCCAAACAAACCGAAGCAGACUGCCGGGCGCCAGCGCCGUGACGUCACCCAUUCAUUCGAGCCUUGACGCCUGUCAGCCUGGCGCCGAGCGGGCGGUCCCUAUAGCAACAACAAACAACAGGCUGGCAUCCCUCCACUCUCCCCCAUUCACCUGCGCGCUGCGGAAUCCUGAGAACAAACUGGUCAGCGCUCAUUUAUCACUUAAAACCUCUGAUGCGAUUACCGCUCCGCGCACCUGCAAACUGCCAUUGUCGUCCCGAAAGACUCUUGUAAAGACACAAAAAGUGAGAGACAAAGUGAAAAAGGGCUAUUGAGCCGGAGGGGCUUUUUUUUAGAUUCCAGCAAUGCUUUUAUUUUAUUGUAUAAAAAUAAGGCGAAUGCUAAUUAUUUUUAAAUGCUAAACUUUAUUUAAAAAUACACUAAGUAUUAAUUAAAUAUAAUAAUUGGUAAAUUAACGUUAUUUUUUUAUACAAAUCUGUUGCAUAUAAUGUUUUAAAUAAAAAUAAACAUUAUAACAUGCAUAAUUAAAUAGGUCAAAAUGAAAAAGAAGCAAUUUUGUGACAAGAAAAUGAUAAAACACUGAUAACUCGCAAUGUGCAACGACAAUUAUUAUUAUUUUUUUAACACUUAAAAUAAAAUCUAAAUGCGCGUGCAUGGAUUUGUGCACGUUGUUUUGAGCGAGUGCAUAGCUCUGCAUCCUGCAGGCAGGAGCGCGAGGGACUGGAGCGUUUCUGGCUCGGUCACAGCUGAGCGGGGUUGAGGGGAGGCGGAGGAGGAGCUGAACAAUGGGAGUGCAGUAUCGGGACUGUGAGAGAGAAUCUCGGCUGGAGCCGACGAGUCUGGAGCGCCCCUCCACUCGCUCAUCCCGCUUUUGUUCAGCUGCGCAAGCUAUCAGCACUUCCUACCGACUCCAACAAUAAGCCCUCACAGCUGGGCUCUCCAAAGCCUGUUUACUGCACAUCAAGGCAAAGAGAGGCAAAGAGUGUAACAUCCCCCUUACACACACUCACACACCCUUAUGAACUCUGGUAAAAUAUAAAACAUAUUCCUAGAAGCAGAGAAAGGACGUUCAAAGGAAAAAGUUACAAAUUAUAUAUGCUUUAUUGCUCAAUUACCUCAUAUGCUGGCCACUGGACAACAACCACUCCUUACUUAUUUGUUCAGUAAAACAUAUGUGAUGUGC